UGGGGAAUAUUGCACAAUGGGCGCAAGCCUGAUGCAGCCAUGCCGCGUGUAUGAAGAAGGCCUUCGGGUUGUAAAGUACUUUCAGCGGGGAGGAAGGGCGUAAAGUUAAUACCUUUGCUCAUUGACGUUACCCGCCGAAGAAGCACCGGCUAACUCCGUGCCAGCAGCCGCGGUAAUACGGAGGGUGCAAGCGUUAAUCGGAAUUACUGGGCGUAAAGCGCACGCAGGCGGUUUGUUAAGUUAGAUGUGAAAUCCCCGGGCUCAACCUGGGAACUGCAUCUGAUACUGGCAAACUUGAGUGUCGUAGAGGGGGGUAGAAGUCCAGGUGUAGCGGUGAAAUGCGUAGGGAUCUGGAGGAAUACCGGUGGCGAAGGCGGCCUCCUGGGCGAAGACUGACGCUCAGGUGCGAAAGCGUGGGGAGCAAACAGG
rnacentral:rRNA from 1 species